rnacentral:rRNA from 1 species
UUUAAAUGUAAAAUAAAUUAUUAAAGUAGUAUUAGUUAUGUUCUUGAAAUUUAAAAAUUUUGGCGGUAUUUUAGUCUAUUUAGAGGAACCUGUUCUAUAAUUGAUAUUCCACGAUUAACUUUACUUAUUUUAUAAAUUUGUAUAUCGUUGUUAUUAGAAGAUUUUAAUAGAAAAUAAAUUUUUAAUAUUUUAUAUUAUAAAAUAUAUCAAAUCAAGGUGCAGUAUAUAUUUAAGAAGAAAUGGGUUACAAUAAAGAUAUUUAAACGGAUUAAAUUUUUAAUAAAAUUUAUAAAGGUGGAUUUAAUAGUAAUAAAAUUAAAUUAAAUUUUAUGAUUUUAGCUCUAAAAUAUGU